UAAAAGGUUUCAGUUAGCUUUUGUAUAACAGUUCACAAAGUCAGAUACCCAAUCAAUCAAAAAGUUUUCACUGUUAUCAAUAUCUAUCAUCAUACAUAUCUCUCAAAAUACUUUUAACACUUCUACACAGAAAAACACUUGCUAUGCUCUAAGCACCCAACCUAUUUUUCACACUUCAGAGUUUCCUGGUAACCAUUUCUCCCAUUCUCAUUUCAUGAACUUCUUUUUUUGUUAUGGUUCCACAGUUUUAAAUCGAAAAACUCUGAUUGGUUUUCGUAUUCUAAAAUAUUGUUAUUCAAAAGAGAAGCUUUAUUAAGGCGGCCUCAGUUUGCUAUUCUAACAUAUUUGUUUGUCUUUAUUGUCAGAUCAAUCAUGUUGGUGA
rnacentral:lncRNA from 1 species